rnacentral:lncRNA from 1 species
CGGAGCCGGAGGUGGCUGCGGAAGCUUUAGUCCUCUCCCCGAUGUGGCGACCACGGCCAGGACAAUGCUGGCCUACGCAGUCUCAGAGCAUGAAAGUUUGAGGCGUCUAUGUUAUGAGAGAGUGGACAUGAAGGUGCUUUGAAUAGAUCCAUCUUCACAGGGAGGACACUGGCUGUCAGGAGAGACCAGACUUGCCUCAAGAAGGGUUAAUGCCCAAAGCAGGACCUUUUGGAGGUCGUCAGCCUUCACUAGUACCAGGAGCCAAUGGCCAUUGUCCUGCAUGAGGCUGCGGUCUCCACCCCAAAGGCCCUUCAUUCCUCCGCGCACCUGAUGGCUUCCUCCUGAAGCUCUGAGACCCCACUUCCUGGCACCUCCUCAGGAUCUGCCACAGCAUGGAUUUCUCUGUUCCCUCUGUCAGAGAUCUACAGCCUGUGUACUGCGAUGGCCCAGCACUCCUGCUUGUGUCUCCCACUUGGCUGGAAGCAGACCAAGAGCAGGGUAUGUGCUGGGGUGCCCAACCCAGGGCCAGGCACAGAGCACACCUACACAUUGAAGGAGUGUGUGACUGCAUAGAUGGAACCUGGUUCUGGAUCAGCCUUGGAGACCUGCACUUGAUGGAUCAGCUGGCACCAUCCAGAUGGAUAAACUUGUGGCCCCCAUCCAGGAACUGAGUCAGUGCAAGAGGACAACUUCAACUUCCCGUGAUUUCAUCUCCUGCAUAACCAAUCAGCACUCCCGGCUCUUUGGCUUCCCCCCACCCACCAAGUUGUCCUUAAAAACUCUG